rnacentral:rRNA from 1 species
CACGUAGGGUGCAAGCGUUGUCCGGAUUCAUUGGGCGUAAAGGGCUAGUAGGCGGCUUAGCAAGUCGGGUGUGAAAUUUCCAGGCUUAACCUGGAACCGCCAUCCGAUACUGCUAUGGCUAGAGUCCGGUAGGGGACCACGGAAUACCUGGUGUAGCGGUGAAAUGCGUAGAUAUCUGGAGGAACACCGGUGGCGAAGGCGGCAUCCUGGACCGGCAUUGACGCUGAGGCGCGAAAGCUAGGGGAGCAAACGGG